rnacentral:rRNA from 1 species
UACGUAGGUGGCAAGCGUUGUCCGGAUUUACUGGGCAUAAAGAGCGCGCAGGCGGUCGGAUUAGUCGCGUGUGAAAGCCCCCGGCUCAACUGGGGAGGGUCACGCGAUACUGUUCGACUCGAAGGCAGGAGAGGGAAGUGGAAUUCCCGGUGUAGUGGUGAAAUGCGUAGAUAUCGGGAGGAACACCAGUGGCGAAGGCGACUUCCUGGCCUGUUCU